UACCGGUACCUGCACGUGUCCCAAAAAACCCCAAAUCAGACCCUGGGCCCCUUUUCGGCCAAUAUCAGAAUUCUGGCACGGCAGCUCCGUCGUGCUCCGGCAACGGCACCACCGCCCGCGGCGGCGAUCUGCCUCGGGUUGGCCGUUUUCGGUCGUUUUCGGUCGUUUUCGGCCAAAUUCGGCCAAACUUGCAUUGGUUCCUACAAUAAAACAACCCUAGGGCCCUCGGUGGGCCAAACAAUCACAAAAAACUGAGACUUACCAGCGGUGGAGCUCUCGGGUGCGGCGGCUUCUCCGGCGCGAGUCGCGGUUUGAUGUUUUGCUCUGGUCAACCUGUAGAGAAAAGGACGGUGAUCACAGUGGUGUAAAAAUUGCAUCAAACGGGAACCGAAAAGGGCCUCAUCGGAGGCAAAAAUUGAAGGAAGUCGCGGCGGCACCGCUGGACUUCGGUGGUGUUUUCUGGCCAAUUGGCCGGUGGUUUGGCUCCGAUUUGGCCAUAGGCGGAUUGAGCUUCGAAAAAUGAGCCAAUGGGAGAAAAUUUACCUCGUUUGGCAGUCGAAAAACCCUCUGGUGCGGUGGCGGGUGGCGGCGGCCGGCUCCUCCGGCGACUGAUUCUUCUUCUCCGGCGAGGGCACUGGCGGCUAGGGUUUGGGGUCGGGUGUGGGUGAGGUUAUUUAUAACCUUCCCCUUUUAAUAUCAACUGUCCAUCACGGUUUAAUCUGGACCGUCCGAUCGCGAUU
rnacentral:lncRNA from 1 species